rnacentral:lncRNA from 1 species
CACCUGCGCACUGCCCUGCUGGAAUGUUGCAGCACCUCACCCAACCACCGCUUAAAGAGUUUGCUGACUUCAUAGAUGCUGAGAUUACCAUAAUAAACCUCAAAAUAUAUCGCUGCUUGCUUCACACUGGAAAUCUGUCUUCAGAUGUUAUUAAUAAGACAGUGCAAUCUGCAGUUCCAGCAAGAAGAAAAAGCCAUCGGUCAUAUAAAUCUCCUAACCAACAAUCUGAAUUUGAAUGAUAACAAAAUGUGUCUCUAAUCUCCUGAUACAUGACAAUUGCUUCUGCUAAAUGCUAUGUAAAACAAUGUUACUAGAAAUUAACACCGUUUUUAAUUCCACUGGUAUUGGCACUAAUGCUCGUAUUUCUUGCAUGCAUAUUAUCCUACUAAUUCCAUUAGGUCUUUUGUGCAUAGCAAUGCUAACCCUGCUCUUCUAUAACUGGC